rnacentral:rRNA from 1 species
GACGAACGCUGGCGGCGUGCCUAAUACAUGCAAGUCGAGCGAACUUGCGGGAGCUUGCUCCCAAAAGUUAGCGGCGGACGGGUGAGUAACACGUGGGCAACCUGCCUAUAAGACUGGGAUAACUUCGGGAAACCGGAGCUAAUACCGGAUAAUUCUUUUCUACUCAUGUAGGAAAGCUGAAAGAUGGUUUCGGCUAUCACUUAUAGAUGGGCCCGCGGCGCAUUAGCUAGUUGGUGAGGUAACGGCUCACCAAGGCGACGGUGCGUAGCCGACCUUGGAGGGUGAUCGGCCACACUGGGACUGAGACACGGCCCAGACUCCUACGGGAGGCAGCAGUAGGGAAUCUUCCGCAAUGGACGAAAGUCGGACGGAGCAACGCCGCGUGAGUGAUGAAGGUUUUCGGAUCGUAAAACUCUGUUGUUAGGGAAGAACAAGUACUAGAGUAACUGCUAGUACCUUGACGGUACCUAACCAGAAAGCCACGGCUAACUACGUGCCAGCAGCCGCCGUAAUAC